AAGAGAUACUGGGAGUUAGGGACCGGAGAGGUGAGAGUACUCCGGGGUAGGAGUGAAAUCCUGUAAUCCCCGGGGACCACCUGUGGCGAAGGCGCUCACCAGGACGGCUCCGACAGUGAGGGACGAAAGCUGGGGAGCAAACCGGAUUAGAUACCCGGGUAGUCCCAGCCGUAAACGAUGCGCGUUAGGUGUAUCGGUGACCACGAGUCACCGAGGUGCCGAAGGGAAACCGUGAAACGCGCCGCCUGGGAAGUACGGUCGCAAGGCUGAAACUUAAAGGAAUUGGCGGGGGAGCACCACAACAGGUGGAGCCUGCGGUUUAAUUGGACUCAACGCCGGACAGCUCACCGGAUAGGACAGCGGAAUGAUAACCGGGCUGAAGACUCCGUUUGACUAGCUGAGAGG
rnacentral:rRNA from 1 species